UGACAUCAAUUCUAGAGCCUUGCAAAUCUAAUGCCACAAUCCCAAGGCUUGGCUCAAACACUCAACAGUUAGGAUGGGGGUGACUGCUGGUGAAGUGAGACUGCAAAUCGGAGUGAGUGAGGUUAGACGGGUGGGUGCAUGUGCGGAAAGAAAGUUUUAUAUUUCAAUCUCAUUUUCUGAGCCCGGCUUUCCCUUUUAAAGAUAGAAGCUGGAAAAUUCUACUGACGAAAGGGUAAAGCAAUACCUUUUCGGUGUCACAGUUUCCUUUCUAAAGGGAACUCAUAUAUUUGGGCCUCUUCCCAGAUACAACACUAAAAUCUCUUGGUUUUUCCCAUACCACGCUCCACUUCGUUAAAAGGGACAUGAAAAGGUUUUCUUGAUCAACCAGCGUUUAUCAAAUGUUUUUGGUUCACCACACACCUAGAAAAGAGGAACUUUGCUGAUUUCUCUCACCUGACUGCAACCUAUUACACAGAUCUUGGAAGACUAAUAUCUCAGCCUGUCUGGUUACCAAAAUGGUGUCAGAAGUGGGAUAUUAUGUAAGGUCACCUUCAGAAGGAAUUGACAAUUCUUGGAAUCAGCGUACAGUAUUCACUGAAGCCCUUUGAACUCUGUUUCCACAGCCUGCCUUUCGGCCUUGAUCAUAUACCUACAAGUAUGCAAAAGAAAAUAAACUAAAAUUUAUCUACUCAGAGAAAAAACUAUCUUGGGACAUUUUCUUAAAGAAAACAAGUUACAGUGAAGGUGUUAAGAAAAUGGGAUAAUAGAAUGAGUGAGCUUCAGCUGCUGCCCAGGAAUCCUGUGUCAUGCAAAGUGGUGGAUAAUAAAUGA